GCUCAGGAUGGAUUUCUACUCAUCUUGCUUCUGUUGUGCAUCCAGAAAAUGUGUCUUGGGAGAAAGGCAGCCAAUAUUCUGAACUUCCUGACACAUAAUACCUCUGUGGUCAGGAGAAGCAAUGUGGUUGCUGCUCAACAGAGUGCCAGGAAGGAAUGGAGCCACUGAAGAAGAGCACCUCCAAACUUCAUCCCAGAAAGGCAACAGAGAAGGCUGAUGGUAUCGGAAGCCGCUAUUUCUACUAAGACAUUUGUGUGACAUUCUUUUCUGCUGAGAUGGGGCUAUGAUGGGUCCCACAGCAUUUUGAUACAUGUGUGGAACUGACCAGAAUAUAGUGAAAGAGGUCUAUGUUCUAUAAAAGCACUUAGAAAUAUUGUGACCUGGGACAGAAGGCUGAAUCCUCCUUUUUACACCAGCGCGUCCCUCUUGUUUAAGUUGCCUUUUUGAUAAAAAGAAAAACAUACAAAACCAGGAAAUAACAGAUAUAAGACAUAUAAAAACAGAUAUUAAAAUCCAUUUUUAAAUAUAUAAAAAGAAAUACCUCAUUCUAGGUCCUUAUAAGUCAUUUUUGUGUGUUCUUGUUCCUCUUCUGCAUUUUUCCCUAUUUUGAAAAGCCUUUAUAUAAACAGCUGCAAUAACUAUGAAGAACGGGGAGGGAUCCCUAACCUCUAUAAGUCUACUCAGGCCUCCAUUAUUUGUGCAUGAGGGAAAAAUAAACAUGUUAAAAAGCAAAUUAAAAGUACAAAUAUAAAGUUACUGUACAAAUAUACAGUUACUGUGAAAGAAGAGAGGAAAGAAAUGACAUAUAGAGAAGAUGUAGGUUCCCCUUUUGAACACUGCAAUAAGGGGAAUAAAGAGAGGCACUGAAUCCUUCCCCCUCCAUGGCUUCUUGGACUAUGAAAAGAGGUUCUGAAAAUGCACGUCAUAAUCCGUUCACCUUCAAAUUCAAAAAGUAUUGUGCCACUUUCAUGUCAUGGCCUUUUCAAAUUCCCAUGGCUAGCAACUAUUGGAGAUAAUCUUGGCAGACCCUCAGCUGUGUCCAGCCAGGCUCUUCUAAGUUUCUUCUUACUUAAUGCCUCUCUGAACUCUAAGUACAGGCAGUUUAUAAAACACUUUAGAUCUGCCUUCAGGAGUUUAUCUACAGACACCUGAACCGCCAUAAAGUAAGUAAUCAAUGAUUAUCAAAAGCAGAGCUCCACACCUAACUGUGCAAUCAAACAAGUACCUAAGACCAAAGGACUGGCCAAGUUGUAAAGUACAAAAGGGUGUGGGGUUCAUGUAAGACGAAGUCAUCAUUUCUCCUUGAAGGGCCUACAUAUAGAAAGAGGAAGGAUUUCUUCAGAUGUAAGCAACUUUGUAGAAAUAUACAGUGGUCAACCAAAUCUAAAGAGGGAAGUUACAAGAACUUUAGAACUGCUUGCAGGAUGGUCAUUUGAUUUUAAUAAUUUAGUUUCUUGCGAAAUGCUGUCCUUGAUUUUGGCUCUUCCCCUAAUCACAGAGCUCUAUACCAAGCAAAAGAUUGUUAUUGUAAUUUAAUAAUACAGGCUGCUGCACUAAUUUUAAGGAUUAUAAAGGCUUUUUAGACUCUUUGGAGUGAGUGAUGGCUCCUAUAUUUCUAGAGUACACAAUGCCAAAUCAAGUGAUUACUUUACCACACAUGGCAGAAAGCCUAACAAGUUAUCUUAUUAUCCCUAACAAUAGAAUCUAAGAAUAACAAAACAGAUUCUGUACAUGUCAAUCUCAUGUAUAAGUCAAAGGCACAAUUUUGGAUUUUGAUAUGACCCAUGGAUAAAUCGAAGGCCAUUCCAGAUAGAAAAGAAACUAACAAUGUAAUCGCAGGAGGGCCAGCCACUCCUGGCCACCUCCAGUUUCCCUCUCAGGGAUUCAGAAAGGUAAGAAGUGGAACCACAGUUGAGAGUAGAGCAAAUCAAAAUGUCUUUCAGCUUUUCCUAGGAUGAACUAAACUCUUGCUUGUACUAUUCUACUCAGAGAAGGCAUUGACCC